UCCAGGAACCACAGGACCAACCAGUGGAGGAGGAGCUCUCUCCUGGGCAGGACACCUCUUCUCCAGAGGAUUCGCUGACCGUCCUGUUGGGCUCCAGGACCAGCAGCCUCUGUGAGGUGGACUCCCUUGCUGACCUCCUGGAGGAGGAAUCUGAGGAUAGCUGGGACCAGGAUACAGAGGCCAGCUCCUCUUCCAGUCCAUGGGAUUCUCCAGAGGAAGAAGACACUCUGGAGGAUCUCAGCAGCCUGGAAGAGGACAUCCUGGACUCCCUGGACCGCCUUCUUAAAUAAGAAGAGAUGCUUCCUCAGAUUCCCCUCCAGAGGUCAGCUUGGAGGAGGAGGAACCAGCCCCAGGCACCUCGGGAGGACGCCUUCAGUAAUGGAGGCAGCUGGAGGACAGAACCUCCCGACCCACAAAGCCCUGCAUGGCUAUUGUUGUUUUUGUUGUCGUUGUUGUU